rnacentral:rRNA from 1 species
CGAAGCCUUCGGGCUUAGUGGCAGACGGGUGAGUAACGCGUGGGAACAUACCUUUCGGUACGGAACAACAGUUGGAAACGACUGCUAAUACCGUAUGCGCCCUAUGGGGGAAAGAUUUAUCGCCGAGAGAUUGGCCCGCGUUAGAUUAGCUAGUUGGUGGGGUAAUGGCCUACCAAGGCGACGAUCUAUAGCUGGUCUGAGAGGAUGAUCAGCCACACUGGGACUGAGACACGGCCCAGACUCCUACGGGAGGCAGCAGUGGGGAAUAUUGGACAAUGGGGGCAACCCUGAUCCAGCCAUGCCGCGUGAGUGAUGAAGGCCUUAGGGUUGUAAAGCUCUUUCAGCGAGGAGGAUAAUGACGUUACUCGCAGAAGAAGCCCCGGCUAACUUCGUGCCAGCAGCCGCGGUAAUACGAAGGGGGCUAGCGUUGUUCGGAAUCACUGGGCGUAAAGCGUACGCAGGCGGAUUUGUAGGUAUCUUGUGAAAUCCCACGGCUCAACCGUGGAACUGCAGGGUAAACCACAAAUCUUGAGACAAGUAGGGGUUAGUGGAACGAUAUGUGGAGCGGUGAAAUGCGUAGAUAUAUAUCGGAACGCCAAUGGCGAAGGCAGCUAACUG